rnacentral:rRNA from 1 species
GACGAACGCUGGCGGCGUGCUUAACACAUGCAAGUCGAGCGAUGAAGCGCCUUCGGGUGUGAAUUAGCGGCGAACGGGUGAGGAACACGUGAGAAAUCUGCCUUCAACUCUGGGAUAACUCCGUGAAAACGGGGCUAAUACCGGAUAUGAAACCUGCGGGCAUCCGCGGGUUUGGAAAGUUUUUCGGUUGAAGGUGAUCUCGCGGCCUAUCAGCUUGUUGGUGAGGUAAUGGCUCACCAAGGCGACGACGGGUAGCCGGCCUGAGAGGGCGACCGGCCACACUGGGACUGAGACACGGCCCAGACUCCUACGGGAGGCAGCAGUGGGGAAUAUUGGGCAAUGGAGGAAACUCUGACCCAGCGACGCCGCGUGCGGGAUGAAGGCCUUCGGGUUGUAAACCGCUUCCAGCAGGGAAGAAGCGAAAGUGACGGUACCUGCAGAAGAAGCACCGGCUAACUAUGUGCCAGCAGCCGCCGUAA